UACGGAGGAUCCAAGCGUUAUCCGGAUUUAUUGGGUUUAAAGGGUGCGCAGGCGGUCUCUUAAGUCAGCGUUGAAAGUUUGCGGCUCAACCGUAAAAUUGGCAUUGAAACUGGGAGACUUGAGUGUAAAUGAAGUAGGCGGAAUUCGUUGUGUAGCGGUGAAAUGCAUAGAUAUAACGAAGAACUCCAAUUGCGAAGGCAGCUUGCUAACAUACAACUGACGCUCAUGCACGAAAGCGUGGGGAU
rnacentral:rRNA from 1 species